CUCCCCACUUGCGCCCCCUCGCUCUCUCUCUUGCCCACGCACUCGUCACCUCCUCCAGAUCCAUCGCCGAGCACGGUCGUUGCCGCUCGCCUCACUCUGCCAUGGCCAGCAGGCACAUCUCGCCUCGCCGUUGCGUCCACAAAGACCGCCGUCGUCCGCUGCGUCUACUAUGGAGACGAAACGAGCCGGAACCCCUUCCAUCGUUGAGCCGGCCCUCUGCUUCCACCUCCGGCCACCGAAGGCCGCCGCCGUCGUUCUGCUGCACCGAGCCUCCCCCGAGCCCGCUCAUGCACAUCUGCAGGUCCGCGACCCUGAGACUGCCGCUGAUGCCGCUAUGUUCGAGUACAUCGACGACGACCCCUCCUUGCCAGAGCAACCAGAUGGUGGAGUUCAGGAGCCAGAUGCCACCUUUGACGACGGCUGCUACCCCGAGGGUGCCUACUACCACGUGACGGACGCCGACGACCAAGAGUAGUUAGGAGGCUCCCAGGCAGGAGGCCUUGCCUUUUCGAUCGUAGAUGCUUUUGUGCUAGCCUUCUUAAGGCAAACUUGUUUAACUCAC
rnacentral:rRNA from 1 species